GCGCUCUUAGUUUAGUGGUAGAACGACUGGUUGCCAAUCAGUAGAUGGGGGUCCGAUUCCCCCAGAGCGCA
rnacentral:tRNA from 1 species